rnacentral:rRNA from 1 species
AGUGAACGCUGGCGGUAGGCCUAACACAGGCAAGUCGAACGGCAGCACAGUAAGAUCUUGCUCGUACGGGCGGCGAGUGGCGGACGGGUGAGGAAUACAUCGGAAUCUACUUUUUCGGGGGUGAUAACGGAGGGAAACUUACGCUAAUACCGCAUACGACCUACGGGUGAAAGCAGAGGAUCUGCGGACCUUGCGCGAACGAAGGAGCCGAUGGCGGAUUAGCUAGUUGGCGGGGUAAAGGCCCACCAAGGCGACGUUCCGUAGCUGGGCUGAGAGGAUGAUCAGCCACACUGGAACUGAAGCACGGUCCAGCCUCCUACGGGAGUCACCAGUGGGGCAUAUUGGCCAAUGGGCGCAAGCCUGAUCCAGCCCUACCGCGCAGGUGAAGCAGGCCUUCGGGUUGUAAAGCCCCUUUCUUGGGAAAGAACCCCAGCAGGUUAAUCCCCCGCUGUUCUGCCCGGACCCAAAGAAUACGUACCCGCCUGCUUCGUG